rnacentral:rRNA from 1 species
UACAGAGGUCUCAAGCGUUGUUCGGAUUCAUUGGGCGUAAAGGGUGUGUAGGUGGCGCCGUAAGUCGGGUGUGAAAUUUCGGAGCUUAACUCCGAAACUGCAUUCGAUACUGUGGUGCUUGAGGACUGGAGAGGAGACUGGAAUUCAUGGUGUAGCAGUGAAAUGCGUAGAGAUCAUGAGGAAGACCAGUGGCGAAGGCGGGUCUCUGGACAGUUCCUGACGCUGAGGCACGAAGGUCAGGGGAGCAAACGGG